rnacentral:lncRNA from 1 species
CUAGGAGGAGGGGCCAGCGUGUAGGGGUGGGAGGUUGCAGCCGCCACAGUCAGUUUCACUCUCUGCCCUAGUGACACCCAGAUCCCAGCGCGCCCUUCUCUCCUCUCCGAGAGUUCGGCUGUCUCAAGUUGGGUAGCUGGCCGGCGGCAAAGUCACCGAUUCCGGGACUGAGAUUCCACUGUUCGGUGCAGGCAGCGGCGGCAGCGGCAGCGGUGGGGAAAAGCGGAUUCCGCCCCGAGCCACACCGAGGAGAGCUUGCGGUCGCGACUUGCCGCCCUAAGCACUCUCCCAAGUCCAGCCCGCUCGGCGAGGACUUCAGUCUCCUGGGCGAACCUUGUCAAGCAAGCUGGGAUCUAUGAGUGGAAAGGUGACCAAGCCCAAAGAGGAGAAAGAUGCUUCUAAGGUUUUCCAUCAGUGGCUUCAUUGAACUCUCAUAGCAGUCUUGUAAGGCAGACUUCAUUUUCUCCAUUGAACAGAUGAGGAAACAAAAGCUCA